rnacentral:rRNA from 1 species
AUUGAACGCUAGCGGGAUGCUUUACACAUGCAAGUCGAACGGCAGCGCGGACUUCGGUCUGGCGGCGAGUGGCGAACGGGUGAGUAAUGUAUCGGAACGUGCCCAGUAGCGGGGGAUAACUACGCGAAAGCGUAGCUAAUACCGCAUACGCCCUACGGGGGAAAGCAGGGGAUCGUAAGACCUUGCACUAUUGGAGCGGCCGAUAUCGGAUUAGCUAGUUGGUGAGGUAACGGCUCACCAAGGCGACGAUCCGUAGCUGGUUUGAGAGGACGACCAGCCACACUGGGACUGAGACACGGCCCAAACUCCUACGGGAGGCAGCAGUGGGGAAUUUUGGACAAUGGGGGCAACCCUGAUCCAGCCAUCCCGCGUGUGCGAUGAAGGCCUUCGGGUUGUAAAGCACUUUUGGCAGGAAAGAAACGUCGCGGGCUAAUACCCCGUGGAACUGACGGUACCUGCAGAAUAAGCACCGGCUAACUACGUG